rnacentral:rRNA from 1 species
UACGAGGGGCGCUAGCGUUAUUCGGAAUUACUGGGCGUAAAGCGCACGUAGGCGGCUUUGUAAGUUAGAGGUGAAAGCCCAGAGCUCAACUCUGGAAUUGCCUUUAAGACUGCAUCGCUUGAAUCCAGGAGAGGUGAGUGGAAUUCCGAGUGUAGAGGUGAAAUUCGUAGAUAUUCGGAAGAACACCAGUGGCGAAGGCGGCUCACUGGACUGGUAUUGACGCUGAGGUGCGAAAGCGUGGGGAGCAAACAGG